rnacentral:rRNA from 1 species
UACGUAGGGGGCAAGCGUUGUCCGGAAUCAUUGGGCGUAAAGAGCGUGUAGGCGGCCAGAUAAGUCCGCUGUGAAAUCUCGAGGCUCAACUUCGAGCUGUCGGUGGAAACUGUCUGGCUAGAGUCCGGAAGAGGAGAAUGGAAUUGCUGGUGUAGCGGUGAAAUGCGCAGAUAUCAGGAAGAACACCCGUGGCGAAGGCGGUUCUCUGGGACGGUACUGACGCUGAGACGCGAAAGCGUGGGGAGCGAACAGG